rnacentral:rRNA from 1 species
CCUACGGGGGGCAGCAGUGGGGGAUAUUGCACAAUGGGCGAAAGCCUGAUGCAGCGACGCCGCGUGAGGGAAGACGGUCUUCGGAUUGUAAACCUCUGUCUUUGGGGAAGAAAAUGACGGUACCCAAAGAGGAAGCUCCGGCUAACUACGUGCCAGCAGCCGCGGUAAUACGUAGGUGGCAAGCGUUGUCCGGAAUUACUGGGUGUAAAGGGAGCGCAGGCGGGAAGCCAAGUCAGCUGUGAAAACUACGGGCUUAACUUGUAGACUGCAGUUGAAACUGGUUUUCUUGAGUGAAGUAGAGGUUG